rnacentral:rRNA from 1 species
UACGGGGGGGGUAAGCGUUGUUCGGAAUUACUGGGCGUAAAGGGCUCGUAGGCGGCCAACUAAGUCGGACGUGAAAUCCCUCAGCUUAACUGGGGAACUGCGUCCGAUACUGGAUGGCUUGGAUUUGGGAGAGGGAUGCGGAAUUCCAGGUGUAGCGGUGAAAUGCGCAGAUAUUGGGGAGGAACACCAAUGGCGAAGGCAGCACCCUGGGCCGGUACUGACGCUGAGGAGCGAAAGCGUGGGGAGCAAACAGGG